UACGUAGGGGGCAAGCGUUGUCCGGAAUCAUUGGGCGUAAAGCGCGUGUAGGCGGUUCAGUAAGUCUGCUGUGAAAGUCCAGGGCUCAACCCUGGGAUGCGGGUGGAUACUGCCGGGCUCGAGUCCGGAAGAGGCGAGUGGAAUUCCCGGUGUAGCGGUGAAAUGCGCAGAUAUCGGGAGGAACACCAGUGGCGAAGGCGACUACCUGGCCUGUUUCUUGACGCUGAGGCGCGAAAGCUAGGGGAGCAAACGGG
rnacentral:rRNA from 1 species